rnacentral:lncRNA from 1 species
UACUCCGAACCUCUAUUGCAAGCGAACUUCAUCCGAGCUCCUACAAGAGCCAGACUCCGUCCGAACUUCUAUAAUGGACGGGCUCCACCAACCAAAUUUCUAUUCCGAACUUCUUUCGAACUUCAUCAAUGAUCGAGCUUCUCCAGCAGUGGGACUUCUACAAUAAGAAGUCUCCAUCUGAGCUUCCACGACAACUGGUCUUCAUCCAGACUCCUACA